CCUACGGGAGGCAGCAGUGAGGAAUAUUGGGCAAUGGACGAGAGUCUGAACCAGCCAAGUAGCGUGAAGGAUGACUGCCCUCUGGGUUGUAAACUUCUUUUAUAAAGGAAUAAAACGAGGCACGUGUGCCUUUUUGCAUUUACUUUAUGAAUAAGGAUCGGCUAACUACGUUCCAGCAGCCGCGGUAAUACGGAGGAUCCGAGCGUUAUCCGGAUUUAUUGGGUUUAAAGGAAGCGUAGAUGGGUUGUUAAGUCAGAUGUGAAAGUUUGCGGCUCAACCGUAAAAUGGCAAUUGAUACUGGCAGUCUUGAGUACAGAUGAGGUAGGCGGAAUUCGUGGUGUAGCGGUGAAAUGCGGAGAUAUAACGAAGAACCCCGAUUGCGAAGGCAGCUUACUAAACUGUGACUGACAUUGAUGCUCGAAAGUGUGGGUAUCAAACAGGAUUAGAUACCCUUGUAGUC
rnacentral:rRNA from 1 species